UACAGAGGGGGCAAGCGUUAUUCGGAAUUAUUGGGCGUAAAGGGCGCGUAGGCGGCUGCGCAAGUCUCGGGUGAAAUCCCUCGGCUCAACCGAGGAACUGCCCUGGAAACUGCGCGGCUCGAGGCCGGGAGAGGAUGGUGGAAUUCCCAGUGUAGCGGUGAAAUGCGUAGAUAUUGGGAGGAACACCGGUGGCGAAGGCGGCCAUCUGGACCGGUACUGACGCUGAGGAGCGAAAGCGUGGGGAGCGAACAGG
rnacentral:rRNA from 1 species